GAACGGCAGCACAGGAGAGCUUGCUCUCUCGGGUGGCGAGUGGCGGACGGGUGAGGAAUACAUCGGAAUCUACUCUGUCGUGGGGGAUAACGUAGGGAAACUUACGCUAAUACCGCAUACGACCUACGGGUGAAAGCAGGGGAUCUUCGGACCUUGCGCGAUUGAAUGAGCCGAUGUCGGAUUAGCUAGUUGGCGGGGUAAAGGCCCACCAAGGCGACGAUCCGUAGCUGGUCUGAGAGGAUGAUCAGCCACACUGGAACUGAGACACGGUCCAGACUCCUACGGGAGGCAGCAGUGGGGAAUAUUGGACAAUGGGCGCAAGCCUGAUCCAGCCAUACCGCGUGGGUGAAGAAGGCCUUCGGGUUGUAAAGCCCUUUUGUUGGGAAAGAAAUCCAGCUGGCUAAUACCCGGUUGGGAUGACGGUACCCAAAGAAUAAGCACCGGCUAACUUCGUGCCAGCAGCCGCGGUAAUACGAAGGGUGCAAGCGUUACUCGGAAUUACUGGGCGUAAAGCGUGCGUAGGUGGUCGUUUAAGUCCGUUGUGAAAGCCCUGGGCUCAACCUGGGAACUGCAGUGGAUACUGGGCGACUACAGUGUGGUACAGGGUAACGGAAUU
rnacentral:rRNA from 1 species